rnacentral:lncRNA from 1 species
UGCAGGCAGAACAUCAGGAGGAUGUGGGCAGGCUGAUGGGCAUCAGGGAGCUGGAGAAGGAAAUGCAUGGAGAGUUGAGUGGGGAGGAACCUGAUGAAAUUCAGCAAGGGAAACCAUCUUAAACCCAGAGCAAGAAACGUAAAGUCACUUGGCUGUCCCUUAUCUCUAAGGGCACCUGAUGCAUAAGUGGACUAGAGAAAGGAAAGAAAGAAAACAUCCAAAGAUCUACAGAUCAUCUUGCUGGCAGGCAAAAUUCUGCUGCUGCCUGCCUGCAUCUUCAGCACUGGCUCCUUUCCCAAGGGCUCUGCACUGCUGCUGACCCUGUUCUCCUGAGCAUCGCUGCCCACAUCGGAGCGCAGUGGUCUGUGUCCCCACAACAUUGGCUAAUGCAGUCUCCUUCCCCUGCUGGAAGAUGCUGGUAGUGCCCAAG